rnacentral:ncRNA from 1 species
AGCCUUCGGAUCAGACGUGAUUUACCCGCCGCUGAGAUUUAAGCUAUAUUAUUUAAGCGGAGGAAAAGAAAACUAACAAGGAUUUCCUACCUAGUAACGGCGAGCGUGAACGGGGAAGAGCCCAACACCGAAUGCGCUUGCCAAAGUCAACGGGAAAUGUUGGUGUUAAUGGUAGCCCUCGUGUCAGUCUAGGCGUCUCAAGUCCACCUGAUUGUGGCUCAAGCCCAGAGAGGGUGUAAGGCCCGUAGAGACGCUCCGACUGAUUCCUGGGGCCUUUUUACCUACGAGUCGCGCUUGUUUGGGAAUGCAGGGCCAAAGCGGGUGGUUAAACUCCAUCCAGAGGCUAAAUACUGGCACAGCGAGUCGAUAGCGGACAAGUACCGUGAGGGAAAGUUGUGAAAAGAACUUUUGAGAGAGAGUUCAAUAGUACGUGAAACCGCUAGAGGCAAACGGAUGGUGCUCAUACUGGCCUGAGGAAUUCAACUGUGACGGUGGCUGACGAAGCUGGCGAUUCCCGAAAUCUCUCUCUUUUGGGACGGGCGUCGGUUUUGGCUAUCAGCUCCGAGCAUGGUGGCACUUUCCUUGGUGCCUGCCGCCACGACCGACGACACUGGCUACCCGCGGCUGGGGUAAGGUGACAAAAAACUGCUAUUCGGCAAUUUGUGUUAUAGACCCCGGCGUCGGACAUGGGUUUGGCCCAGGGACGUCGAGCUUGCGGCGGGCCCCGCUCCUUUGUGGGCUCGCAUGUUGGCUAGCUUGGCUGCGCCGAUGCUUGCACUGGACAACCAGUACAGGUGACGGUUGUGGUCUUGUCUCUAGUUUGGCCUCUGCGAG